rnacentral:rRNA from 1 species
UCGGAUUUACUGGGCGUAAAGGGCGCGCAGGCGGCUCUCCAAGUCAGGCGUGAAAGCCCCGGGCUUAACCUGGGAGGUGCGUCUGGGACUGGGUGGCUUGAGGUUGGGAGAGGGAUGCGGAAUUCCAGGUGUAGCGGUGAAAUGCGUAGAUAUCCGGAGGAACACCGGUGGCGAAGGCGGCAUCCUGGACCAAUUCUGACGCUGAGGAGCGAAAGCCAGGGGAGCAAACGGG